CUGGAUACCUGCCGACCUUAAAUGAAGAUGAGGAAUGGAAGUGUGACCAGGACAUGGACGAGGACGAUGGCAGAGAUGCUGCUCCUCCCGGAAGACUCCCUCAGAAGCUGCUCCUGGAGACAGCUGCCCCGAGGGUCUCCUGCAGUAGACGGUACAGCGAAGGCAGAGAGUUCAGGUAUGGAUCCUGGCGGGAGCCAGUCAACCCCUAUUAUGUCAAUGCCGGCUAUGCCCUGGCCCCAGCCACCAGUGCCAACGACAGCGAGCAGCAGAGCCUGUCCAGCGAUGCAGACACCCUGUCCCUCACGGACAGCAGUGUGGAUGGGAUCCCCCCAUACAGGAUCCGUAAGCAGCACCGCAGGGAGAUGCAGGAGAGCGUGCAGGUCAAUGGGCGGGUGCCCCUACCUCACAUUCCCCGCACGCACCGGGUGCCGAAGGAGGUCCGCGUGGAGCCUCAGAAGUUCGCGGAGGAGCUCAUCCACCGCCUGGAGGCCGUGCAGCGCACGCGGGAGGCCGAGGAGAAGCUGGAGGAGCGGCUGAAGCGCGUGCGCAUGGAGGAGGAAGGUGAGGACGGCGAUCCAUCCUCAGGGCCCCCAGGGCCGUGUCACAAGCUGCCUCCCGCCCCCGCUUGGCACCACUUCCCGCCCCGCUGUGUGGACGUGGGCUGUGCCGGGCUCCGGGAUGCACACGAGGAGAACCCUGAGAGCAUCCUGGACGAGCACGUACAGCGUGUGCUGAGGACACCUGGCCGCCAGUCGCCUGGGCCUGGCCACCGCUCCCCGGACAGUGGGCACGUGGCCAAGAUGCCAGUGGCACUGGGGGGUGCUGCCUCGGGGCACGGGAAGCACGUACCCAAGUCAGGGGCGAAGCUGGACGCGGCCGGCCUGCACCACCACCGACACGUCCACCACCACAUCCACCACAGCACAGCCCGGCCCAAGGAGCAGGUGGAGGCCGAGGCCACCCGCAGGGCCCAGAGCAGCUUCGCCUGGGGCCUGGAACCACACAGCCAUGGGGCAAGGUCCCGAGGCUACUCAGAGAGCGUGGGCGCUGCCCCCAAUGCCAGUGAUGGCCUCGCCCACAGUGGGAAGGUGGGCAUGGCGUGCAAAAGAAAUGCCAAGAAGGCUGAGUCGGGGAAGAGCGCCAGCACCGAGGUGCCAGGUGCCUCGGAGGAUGCGGAGAAGAACCAGAAAAUCAUGCAGUGGAUCAUUGAGGGGGAAAAGGAGAUCAGCAGGCACCGCAGGACCGGCCAUGGGUCUUCGGGGACGAGGAAGCCACAGCCCCACGAGAACUCCAGACCCUUGUCCCUUGAGCACCCCUGGGCCGGCCCUCAGCUCCGGACCUCCGUGCAGCCCUCCCACCUCUUCAUCCAAGACCCCACGAUGCCACCCCACCCGGCUCCCAACCCCCUAACCCAGCUGGAGGAGGCGCGCCGACGUCUGGAGGAGGAAGAAAAGAGAGCCAGCCGAGCACCCUCCAAGCAGAGGUACGGCCGCGUCGUGGGGUGGGGUGGGUCUCGGGGGUUACCACAGCACCGCUCCUGGGGCUGAAGCUCCCCGAGGCCUGAGGUCUUCAGGGGAAAAACGGCCCUCUGGGUGUCCGCCAGCCAUACUGGGCCCUUCCUUCCACUGAGAACCACUGAGGGGCCACGUGGCAGGCCACCCUGCGGUGGACGGAGGCUGGGGCUGGAGCUUUCACACACCCGAGGCCGCCGCGCUCAUUGCUCUGGAGGCGGGGUCCCUCCUCAACCUGAGCCCAGUCUGCAGGGAGGCUGCAGGGCCCCAGUGUGUGGGGAACGCCGGUCCCCAGCCAGAGGCUGCUCACUGCUGGGCAGCCUGGGCUUUAGGGCAGGGGUCCUGGAGGCAUGGCGGCUGCCUCUUGACAGUUGCAUCCCAGGAGCCCUGAGUGGCUCUGCACGGUCGGAAAGCUACGUGGUUCUGAAACCCAUGCAGAUGCAGAAGUGUCAUCCUGGACGUCCAGCCACAGCCCUCCUCGCUGUGUCCUCUUGUCAUCCUGGACGUCCAGCCCACAGCCCUCCUCACUGUGCCCUUCUGUCUUCCUGGACGUCCAGCCCACAGCCCUCCUCACUGCGCCCUCCUUGGUCUUCUGGGCUCCGUAGCCAGACCCUGUUCUCUCCCUAGGGCAGGGAGGCUUCUGUCUGGGCUGCAGGGAGGUCUCCCCUUUGUGUGGGCAGCAUUUUCGCUCCAGGCCAGAACCUGGCUUCUCCAUUUUCAGCUUGCUCAUGAGGCCAGUUUUCUCGGCCAUCCUGGGUCAUUGGAAUUCCCCACAGAUCAGUGUCUCUUUGAGGGUCCUGGGAGCCUAUAGCUCACCCAGGCCCUGGGGCUGUGGUCACAGAGGCCAUGGUUGCCUUCAGAGGUCACCAGCUCCUCCUGUCCACCUUGGGUCACCUGGGGCCUGGGGUCCAGGCCCGCCUCCCGGGCCUCCAGCUUUGGGGCUGUGCCACUCCAGGGAGGCUGUGGCUAGGGGCCUUAUUGUGCCGAACCAGCAUCAGGGUUCAGACCCUUCCCAGCUGAAAGCCUGUGUGGCCUCAAGUCAUUAAAGCUUCCUGAGCUUCUGCCAGGCUGUGAGCCUAAUGACAGCUCUGGGGCCAGAAGGGGUCACAGUUACCUCAAACCCAAAGGGUGACCACUUUAUGACCAAACAUCUGUGACCCUGUGAUCGUGUUCGGCCAACAAGGAGCUGGAGCCCCCUGCCAUGCAGGAGCCUGGAGUGUGGUGCUCGCAGCUGGGGCGUGUGACUGGGCUGGCAGAUGAGCCGUGGCGGGCAUCGUGUGCAGCAGGUCCGAGGCCCUGGGCGUGUGUGGGCUCUCCUGCCGGGGCUUCCUGAGCCCAUCCUUGCUGGGCUGAGCAGGGGUCUCUCAGGUUGCGUCUGCCCUUUCCCCUGGUACCCACAGGCCCCACAUGAUGGCAGGGGAUGCCCGCUGAGCCGUGGGACCACUGCCGCCGUUCUGAGACACGACCCUCCCGCCCGUUUGGCUGCUGGGCUCCAGCCUCCCCCCAUGGGGAAACCCAGAGUUGCUGGGUUUGUCCGUCCAGGGGAUGUGGGUUUUUGCGAGAAGCUGGGGAGACGGAGUGAAGGCCCAGAGGCAGGUUGGGCGCUGGGCCCUGUCAGGAUGUCAGAGUAGAAACCACCAUCAAGGUCGCCCAGUGCACCCCGGUGGAGGUGUCCACGUGAGAGGAGCUGCUGUGCUGCCCCAGGAUGGCCUCAGUUGUGGCGCCGGGGGGCCCUCAGCCUCCCUGAGGUGCAGACCAAGUUGCCACACCCCAGAGCCAGUGUCCACGCCAUCGGUGGGGAAUUCAUGCCAAGAGACCGAAGGACAGACUCUCGGGACGAGAUGUCAUCCCACCAGAGGGGAUGAGGUGGUGGGAUCCCAGCACCCCUGAUCGGAAGCUCCCCAAAGUGCGGUCCAGGGAACUCAGGGGGUCGGUGCCCGGAUCAUGAGUGUGGGGCGCGCUGCAGUAUCGGGCACCACCGAGGCAGGCCUAGGAGGGGAUUCCGUGUCUUGUCUACCCUGCAAACUGGAGCCUGCGCAGGGUGGGUUGUUCGGGCCCUUCACGCUCCGUCCGUCCCUGCGCAGCAGCAUUGGUCGAGGCUCCCUCCCCAGGGCUGGUGGCCGCCGGCACAGCCACCUUUGACGCGGGUUGUUCCCUAGGUAUGUGCAGGAGGUUAUGCGGCGGGGACGUGCCUGCGUCAGGCCAGCGUGCGCGCCGGUGCUGCACGUGGUACCAGCCGUGUCGGACAUGGAGCUCUCCGAGACAGAGUACGUGCGUCCUGAGGGUCCUCCCGGUCCUGCCCACCCCAGCCCGGGCGUCCCAAGCCAGGUCCCAUCAUAGAGCCGCCGUCCUGGGGCUUGAGCUCGGGUACCACGCUCAGAAGCAGCUGUGGCAGGAGAGGGUCCCGUGGCAUCAGACUCGAAGCUGCCCGAGAGCCUUCUCCUGUCUCCAUCAAAGGAGACGCUGACUGUCCAGCAUGAUGACAAGUGACCAAAAGGCCCGGCUGGAGGCCUGGGCACAGCCAGCCCCUGCAUCCACACAGGUGUCACGGCCCGGCUCCCUGUGGGGCAGAGACCUGCCUGCGCCUCCACCCGGCUUGGAACGGGCCGGUCCCUGCCAGGCCUGACUUGAGCAGGCUCGGGGCUGCAGGUGCUGAGGUGCCCGGGGCGCGUCUGCUUGCAGUGUGGGUCUCAACCAUGCGCGUCUGUCCAGCCCGUGCAGUCAGUGAGUCGGGGCUCUGCUCCCACCUACAAUGCUGACUGCUCUGAGCCCGUGAGAAAGGGCUCAGACCAUGUGAUCCCACAUGGGCCGUGUUGACAGCGCCUUUAUGUGCUCAAGGUGGUAGGAGGAGGGGGCACACCCCAAAAGGGGCCUUGAGAACAAGGGUCCCCCAGGCCUUGCCAGGCUUGCCCCAGAUGCAGGUUUGUUGUGGCCCUCAUCGUGUAGGCGGUCUUGGGGCAGCCUUCACCUGUCCCUGGGGCAGCCCCCACGUGUUGGCUCUUCUCCGAUGGGCCUGGCUCCAGGAGGCUCCGAGGAUGUGGCACUGGGAGGACGUCUAAGCCCACGUGGCUGGGGGCCUGGUGUGCAGAGGACGGUCACGUGGCUCAGGUGGCCAUGAGGCCUUCCCGCCCUGGUGUUGGCUCUGGAAGCCUCUGGUGCACCCAGCCAGGAGGAGGCCCAAGGGCUGAACCCCAGUGGGCCAGGGGCAGCUUCUGGAGUCACUUGGAGGACAGGUGGCGGCGGGGUAGCCGAGUGGGGGGGCGAGAGCAACCAGGCCCCGCCCGUCAUCCCGGCACGGCUGUGGAAGCAUAGCACCUGUAAGAGGAGGGCCCAGCUCAGCCUGGGCAGGAGACGGUGCCAGCCCCGCCCCCUCUGAAGGGCCUGCUGGCCACCCCCGCCCCAGUCCUCCGACAAACUUCGCUGCGGGGUCAGGUUUUCCAGAAAUCAUGCACAGUUCUGUUUGUCCAAUCCCUGCCCUUCAGAUGUUUUUAAGGUUUGGGGGCCGUAGGUCUUCCUGAGAUAGGAGCCCUGCAGCCUGCCCUGCCAUCCUAGAGGUGGGAGCUGCAGUGCACCUGGCAGCCAGGCCCGGGCCAGUCGAGGGUGGGGCUGUGAGGCAGCAGGGAGACCUUCGUGCUCCCAGUGAGCGGAGUCGACUCCACUGCUAGUGGGCUAGAUCCCAGAUUGAGAUGCUGUGCGGGGGCAGCGGGGCCUCGGGCCCCAGGUGUUUGAAUGGGGUGCUGCUCACCCCUGCAGGCCUGCCCCGCCUUACACUGGCAGCCUGAGGCCAGCAGGAGGGACCCUGUGGGACCUCAGUCCAAAACCAGGCACCACCGCUGCAUCUCUUUCCCCAGGACAAGAUCGCAGAGGAAGGUGGGCGGCGGGAGUGCCCAGCCGUGUGACAGCAUCGUUGUGGCGUACUACUUCUGCGGGGAACCCAUCCCCUACCGCACCCUGGUGAGGGGCCGUGCGGUCACCCUGGGCCAGUUCAAGGAGCUGCUGACCAAAAAGGGCAGCUACAGAUACUACUUCAAGAAGGUGAGCGACGAGUUUGACUGUGGGGUGGUGUUUGAGGAGGUUCGAGAGGACGAGACCGUCCUGCCCGUCUUUGAGGAGAAGAUCAUCGGCAAAGUGGAGAAGGUGGACUGAUGGGCUGGUGGGCUGGCUGCUGCGCCAGGCGAGGCCCUUGGCGGGCACGGGUGUCACGGCCAGGCAGAUGACCUGGUACUCAGGAGCCCGAUGGGGAACAGUGUUGGGUGUGCCACCCAUCCCUGUGGUCUACCCGUGUCUAGAGGCAGGUAGGGGGUCCCUCCAAGUGGUCCACAAGCUUCUGUCCUGCCCCCAAGGAGGCAGCCUGGACCACUCCUCAUAGCAAUACUUGGAGGGCCCAGCCCAAGUGGGGCAGCCGAGGUCCCUGCUGCCAGCUUCAGGUGCCCCCCCCCCCAUCCCCCAGCACCUCCCUUGGGCACGUGUGCUGAGAUCUACUUUCCCUCUGAGAUUUGCCCACGUACCCUGGCCUGGCUGGGGCCCAGGCCCAGAUGCAGAGGCCUGCAGGGCCUCUGUCAAUUGUACGCACCACCGAGUGCCUUCAACACAGCUAGUCUCUUGCCUGCCACUGUGUGAAUCGGCGACGGAGCACUGCACCUGCCUCCGGCCGCCGGCUGUGCAGUCCCGGGUCCUCCUUUCUGAGGGCCCGUGUAAAUAUGUACAUUUCUCAGGCCAGGGCCAGCAGGGGCUGCCCGAGUCUGUUUUUCAUGCGAUGACACUUGUACAAUUAUCUUUUCAAAGGUACUUGGAUAAUAAUGAAAUAAAACUGUUUUUGAACCUGC
rnacentral:sRNA from 1 species